UGGAUCAGUGAUGAGUAUUGGUGGAGAGAUCUGAAUCAACGCCUUUGCUGCAGCCCUCUGUGACUCUGAGGUCCCU
ensembl:snoRNA small nucleolar RNA, C/D box 113-5